AUUGAACGCUGGCGGCAUGCCUUACACAUGCAAGUCGAACGGCAGCACGGGAGCAAUCCUGGUGGCGAGUGGCGAACGGGUGAGUAAUAUAUCGGAACGUGCCCGGUCGUGGGGGAUAACGUAGCGAAAGCUACGCUAAUACCGCAUACGAUCUACGGAUGAAAGCGGGGGAUCGCAAGACCUCGCGCGAUUGGAGCGGCCGAUAUCAGAUUAGGUAGUUGGUGAGGUAAAGGCUCACCAAGCCGACGAUCUGUAGCUGGUCUGAGAGGAUGAUCAGUCACACUGGAACUGAGACACGGUCCAGACUCCUACGGGAGGCAGCAGUGGGGAAUAUUGGACAAUGGGCGAAAGCCUGAUCCAGCCAUGCCGCGUGUGUGAAGAAGGUCUUCGGAUUGUAAAGCACUUUAAGUUGGAGGAAGGGUAGGUAACCUAAUAACGUUGCUAC
rnacentral:rRNA from 1 species